CCUCGAACCGGCAGGUUCCCUGAUCCCGACCCUCCCCCUCCUCCAGACCCUGGAGGCCCCCGGCGGCCGCAGGGCUGACGCAGGAGCGCCGAGGCGCUUCCCUUCGGCGCCCGCGGGUUGGGUGGGGGGGCUGGGCUGCGGGCUCGUGCACGCGCCCCCCACCCCCCACCCCCACCCCCAGGAGGUUGUGCUCGCGCCUUUCCCCGGGUCCAGGGGUCUUUCUGCGGCCCGCGGUGUUUUCCUAGGGCUUCCCGUGUUCAGACAAAGGAGCGGGCAACUUUCCACCGUCUGCGGAACGGAGCGACGGCGCGUUUCGGUCGUUCGCAGUUACGGGUGCAGGGCAGAAAAUUCUGUGCCCCGGCUGCCCACCUGGGUCCUCACUUUCACUGCCUCGGCCGACUUAGUUCAUUGCGCUUGGUAAUUGACUUUCGACGGCUUUGGGAUGCUGUUUUGGCCCGCGAGGAUUCAAGGAAUUAGAGUGUGCGCGGUGUCCUGCACCCAGUUUAAUUUAGUACCUGCUUACGAAGUCAGUGACUUCUGCAGUCGUCUCCGAAUUUUCCUACAAAUUAAGGAGCAAGACCAGUACUGGUUGUUGCAAGGUGAUUUCUUAAGGAUGGUUUCACGGUAUCCUUUGGGCUUUCUUAAAACUUGGGAGAGUUUUGGGGCGUCUGGGGGGCCCAGUGGGGUCCGCCUCCGACUCUUGAUCUCAGCUCAGGUCUUGAUCUAGGGUGCUGAGUUCGAGCCCCGUGCUGGGCAUGAAGCCUGCUUAAAAACAAAACAGGAGACUUUUCCUUGUUGCCGCCGGACACCGGCUGACCAGUUUGUAAAGAGCUGCUGGCCCUGGAGGCUGGUACGGUUCUUCCCAUCCGUGCACACCAGCCUGGAGCCAGAGCCUCGGUGUUUGCUCAGCCCCCUUUGUGACCAGAACUGCCUUCUUGUUUUGAAAAGUGAUGCGUCUCCCGGUCUCACCAUCUGCAAAAUGGGGACGAUGGUAACACCAGCUCUCAGGGUGGUUGUGAGGAGCGGGGUCCCUGUUUCUGAAGCCCCAGCUUGGGGUAGGUGCUAGAUAAGAGCUCGUGCAGGAUUUGCAGGACUGGCCACCUCAGACAUUUGUAGCCUGUGUGUCACAUAACCACGUGAAGCAGGUGUUCAUUCGGUAACACCACUCUCUCUGUGUCUUUAUCCUGUAAUAGUUGGGGUGCCUGAAAAUGAGCCUAUUUUCUUAAAUAUAUUUCUCCUCUCUGGCUUUUAAUAUACAGCACUUGGAUUUUAAUUUCAGCAUUGAGCGAAGUUUUGCAUUUUAUUACUUAACCAGUUAUUAAAAAUCUUAACCCAA